AUUGAACGCUGGCGGCAGGCUUAACACAUGCAAGUCGAACGAGUGGCGGACGGGUGAGUAAUGUCUGGGAAACUAGCUUAUGGAGGGGGAUAACUACUGGAAACGGUAGCUAAUACCGCAUACCAUCGGAUGAGCCCAAGUGGGAUUAGGUAGUUGGUGAGGUAAAGGCUCACCAAGCCGACGAUCCCUAGCUGGUCUGAGAGGAUGACCAGCCACACUGGGACUGAGACACGGCCCAGACUCCUACGGGAGGCAGCAGUGGGGAAUAUUGCGCAAUGGGCGCAAGCCUGACGCAGCCAUGCCGCGUGAAUGAAGAAGGCCUUCGGGUUGUAAAGUACUUUCGGUAGCGAGGCGUUACCUGCAGAAGAAGCACCGGCUAACUCCGUGCCAGCAGCCGCGGUAAUAC
rnacentral:rRNA from 1 species